UAAAAUUUGAUUUGUCAUUGAUAUACUGUUAUAUUUUUGUAUAUAAACUUUAAACAAUAUAUUGUUGAGAGUUUCAAAAUAAAUAAGAAGAUAAUAUAUAGUUGUAGAUAUAAAAGUUUAUCCUAAGUUAAUAAAAUUAUUUUUUCUAUAAAAAGAUUAUAUAGUUUACGAAUAUAAUAUUUAAGUGGUUUACGAAUAUAAUAGGACCACUUAAAUAAUUUGUUAAUAUGACAUAUAUAAAAUCUACUUAAACAAUUAAUUUUUUUUUUGUUAGUUUGCCUAUUUAAUAUAAUUUUAUCAUAUUUAAAUCACAUAGCACUUCUAUUUUUAUAUAGUACAAUUCUCUCAAAUAGCGUUUUUAAGAUUUUGUCACAAAAAUAAAGAUAAAAAAAAUACCAAAGUAGUCCAUUUUUAUUUUGAAAAUUUUAAUAUUUAUUAUAUUUUUUUAAAAUAUUUGAAACCCUAUCCCCAAAACCCCACCCCUUAACUCUAAACCCUAAAUCUAGAUUAGUUAACC
rnacentral:lncRNA from 1 species